UCCGCGCUGCAUGUUUGAAGACGGGAGACAUAUAGCGGCGAGUGUACUGCAUUGAAUGAUGAAAGUUGCGUCACGGCCUGGGUGAAAAUCGGUAUGCUGCAAGGAGUGCUGAACGGAACUACAAUGAGGAUACAAAUAGGUGACCCAAACCUCUGAAACCACUAAGAUGGUCGUGACACAGAUGGAUGCAGAAUCUCAACAUGGAGAUUGGAGUCAAACAGAGCGCGAUUAUCAUGAGGGUCUAUCACGAAGAUGUCUGGUGUGUCAGGGAUAAUCCCACCGAUUGUUGUUAAUCACCGACAAGCUGUAAAGUUGAAGGAUUGAAAGUGUGUGUCGUGGUAUAUUCCGACGGCGUGGGUUGUUGUUCCUGCUAUUACACACUGGUGUGCGUGGUUGAGCAGAUUAUUCAAACAUCAUUUAAAAGGCAAAUCUCUGGAAAACAGCAUUCGCUUUCUCGAACAGCUUCACAGUGGCUUUUCUUACAUAACUGGACUGUGUUGACAUGACUGGGACAAACUGGGAGGUGAUGACUUGAGCCGUGAUUAGUUCAAUCAAUCAAUCAAUCUUUAUUACAGAAAUACUGAAAGGCCAUAGGCGUAUAGUACAUAUCUUUAUGGAUAGGGGUGGACAUAUUGAUUUUUUCUUGUUUAAGUCAUUCAUCUUAUCAUUUCUAAGGGGCGGUCGGGUAACCUAGUGGUUAAAGCGUUCGCUCGUCACGCCGAAGACCCGGGUUCGAUUCCCGACAUGGGUACAAUGUGUGAAGCCCAUUUCUGGUGUCCCCUGCCGUGAUAUUGCUGGAAUAUUGCUAAAAGCGGCGUAAAACCAUACUCACUCACUAUCAUUUCUAAAAUUCAUUGCAUUGGAUAUAUACGCAGUCAAAGGCUUCAGAACAUAAUUUUGUAGAAGACAUUAAUUCAUUAAACUUAAAUAUAUUUGGAAAUUGGUACUUUGAUGGGUGUAGGUAUGCAGUUCUUUAAAUGGGGAUAUGAGAACAAAAUAGUACUCAUCCUCUAUUAGCUGUAGAUUACACAUUUUACACAACCUAAUUUCCUUUGGGAUUUUGGAAUAUCUUCCCGUUUCAAUAUUUAAUUCAUGUGAUGUGCAUCCGUAUCUAGAAACUGCAAUUCUAUAUUUGUACAAGAGUGGUUUCAAAAUAUAUUCUGCAGUUAUAAAAUGAGCCUUUGUGUACACAAUUUAACAAAAUGUUCAGAACAAUCUGUGAUUAGUAAAUUCAUCAUCUAAAUAUGACGGCGGUUCGUUAGCUCACAGAAACGAUCCUCACCUUUGAGAACGCUUGUUCUACCCGACAACCAAGCGACAUU